rnacentral:rRNA from 1 species
AACGUAGGAGACAAACGUUAUCCGGAGUUACUGGGCGUGAAGGGCGUGUAGGUGGUUUUGUAAGUCUGGCGUGAAAUUUUUCGGCUUAACCGGGAAAGGUCGUCGGAUACUGCAAGGCUAGAGGACGGUAGAGGCGUGUGGAAUUCCGGGUGUAGUGGUGAAAUGCGUAGAGAUCCGGAGGAACACCAAAGGCGAAGGCAGUGUCCUGGGGAGUACCUGACGCUCAGGUGCGAAAGCCAGGGGAGCGAACGGG